rnacentral:rRNA from 1 species
GAUGAACGCUGGCGGCGUGCCUAAUACAUGCAAGUCGAGCGAACAGACGAGGAGCUUGCUCCUCUGACGUUAGCGGCGGACGGGUGAGUAACACGUGGAUAACCUACCUAUAAGACUGGGAUAACUUCGGGAAACCGGAGCUAAUACCGGAUAAUAUAUUGAACCGCAUGGUUCAAUAGUGAAAGACGGUAUUUCUGUCGCUUAUAGAUGGAUCCGCGCCUGAUUAGCUAGUUGGUGAGGUAACGGCUCACCAAGGCGACGAUGCGUAGCCGACCUGAGAGGAUGACCAGCGACACGGAGACUGAGACACGGCCCAGAGUCGUACGGGAGGCAGCAGUGGGGAAUCUAGCGCAAUGGGCGAAAGGCUGACGCAGCCAUGCCGCGUGAAUUAUGAAGGGCUUAGGAUUGGAAAAUUCUUUCACCGGGGACGAUAAUGACGGUACCCGGAGAAGAAGCCCCGGCUAACUUCGUG